rnacentral:rRNA from 1 species
AUUGAACGCUGGCGGCAUGCUUUACACAUGCAAGUCGAACGGUAACAGGCCUUCGGGUGCUGCCGAGUGGCGCACGGGUGAGUAAUGCAUCGGAACGUGCCCAGAGGUGGGGGAUAACGCAGCGAAAGCUGUGCUAAUACCGCAUGUGAUCUGAGGAUGAAAGCGGGGGACCAGGCAGCAAUGUUUGGCCUCGCGCCUUUGGAGCGGCCGAUGUCAGAUUAGGUAGUUGGUGGGGUAAAGGCCUACCAAGCCGACGAUCUGUAGCUGGUCUGAGAGGACGACCAGCCACACUGGGACUGAGACACGGCCCAGACUCCUAAGGGAGGCAGCAGUGGGGAAUUUUGGACAAUGGGCGCAAGCCUGAUCCAGCAAUGCCGCGUGCGGGAAGAAGGCCUUCGGGUUGUAAACCGCUUUUGUACGGAACGAAAAGGCUCUGGCUAAUACCUGGGGCUGAUGACGGUACCGUAAGAAUAAGCACCGGCUAACUACGUG